rnacentral:tRNA from 1 species
GCGGGAGUAGCUCAGUUGGCAGAGCAUCAGCUUCCCAUGCUGAAGGUCGCGGGUUCGAUCCCCGUCUCCCGCU